CCUAUCGAGAAGGCACCAGGGCCAGAUGGAUUUCGGGGGGGGUUCUACAGAGCUUGUUGGCCAAUUAUCAAAGAUGAUAUCAUGCAUGUGUUUCAGAAGUUCUAUCACCUGGGGGGGCGCAAAUGCAAGUCAAUCAACACGACCAUGAUCACACUUCUCCCGAAGAAAAAUGGGGCCUUUGAGAUUGGGCACUACCUACCGAUCAGUCAUAUGCACUCGAUAGGCAAGCUACUGGCUAAGGUGCUCUCGAUUCGUCUGUUAGGAGUAAUCCAGAGCGUCAUCUCGCUGGUGCAAAGCGCAUUCUAG
rnacentral:rRNA from 1 species